rnacentral:tRNA from 1 species
GGGCCUGUAGCUCAGUUGGGAGAGCGCGUCGUUCGCAACGAUGAGGUCGCCGGUUCGAUUCCGGCCAGGUCCA